rnacentral:lncRNA from 1 species
AUUUCUUUGUCAGUGGGCAAACGUACAAAAUCAGCAGGGGAUCAAAUACUUUUUUCCCUCACUGUACGUGCUCAGCUUACUUCUAUACAUGCUCGUUGUGACGGCCCUGAAUUUUUCUGAACGUCUCAGUGCUUUUCUUUCCAAUAGGGCGCUUUCCCUUUAAUUCCCAAUUAAAUAGCCAGCAUCAGCUGCGCAAAAGUGGGGUUGUGAUGGAGACGUGAAUGAGGAUGUGUUCAACUCUCAGUUCCGAAGCGUCUUUCUUCCGUUUGUUGUGUUGCAGUUAAAAGUGUGCUUUGUAGCCUAAUAGUAAGUUUACCCAGGAUCGGAUCCACUCUUUGCUUCCGUCCGUGGACUACACCUCUCCGUUGUUCUUCGUGGCUUUUGUCUGCUGGAGAUCUGUCGGCGGAUUGGCUUGUCUGACUGACCACAAACUUUUUGUAUACGAUAUUUCAUUUUGUUUUGGUGUGAUGUAUACCGUGAUGAUUUAUGUAGUUAGUUGUAGUUGAGGACUUACUAAUAUGUGAUACGCUUUAUAGUUGUGUGGUAAAAUAUUUGUAAUUUUGAUUGACACUGGGUUUACGCUACACUGGAUGAACGGACAAACAUUGCGUGACUAAGGUCACUUGAGUUCCCCGAACUUGUUUACCGGGCUGGACUCUUUUUAGGCCCGAGGUACAGGACAUUUCUGGAGGAACCAGAGCUGUUUAAAGCUCAUUAUUGUGUGUGUGUGUGUGUGUGUGUGUGUGUGUGUGUGUGUGUGUGUGUGUGUGUGUGUGUGUGUGUGUGUGUGUGUGUGUGUGUGUGUGUGUGUGUGAUUUAUGUUAGUAAUACAACCACGCAAAAGAAUACUGUUGUUUUGUAAGUUCUUUCCAAUGUUUUAAGGGCUUAUGAAAAGUGUAUUUCCAUCCUGACUUUUACAUGAGUCCUUUGUAUUGGUGUAGACUUGACGGACCAGAUGGGACUCAUUCCCGGGUGGGUAUAAUUUGUGGAACGUUCCAACAGGAAUCCGUUCCAAAAGCUCCGUAAAUGUCAAGGUUGCCAACCAACAGCGCAUACAAAGUCGUAUAACGGUAGAAUGAGAUACCGGGUAGGGAGUGAGCAAUGUAAUAACGUUUUUCAUUCACCACGUUUAUCCUGAAAAAUGUCUCUUAGUUCUGGUAGCCUCCACCAUUCCUCGUUCGUUAGUUUAGUUAUUAUUUCCGGUGUUCCUGCAUUCGCCGGUGAACUCUGAGCCUCAAUUAGGGAAUCGCUAUGGUUGAAAUGUAACUAGUGACUGCCAGCCCCAGUAUUUUAUUAGCUAGGUGGAUUGUACACAAUUGUUACCGAUGAUACUGUAUAUACCAGCCUACUCGUAUUACAGAAACAUACAUUGUAUUUUGGCAUGUUCUCUCUGUGUUAAUCCUGUUUCCCAAAUAUCAGCUAACUUGUGUCUGUGUCGAUGUUGUUUAGUUCCACUUGUCUAGUUAAAUAAAAUAGAACGUAUACAAUAUGCUUUGACCUAUUUCAGGUAACCUAAAGAUGCUUGAUUCACUAUAGUUGCUUUUGAAGAACUUUCCAGUCGUUUGUGCUUUACAUUACGAUUUUUGAACGUCUGUUUAUUGGACAUAUAUAUUAGUGUCUUAUAAAAAAGGGCAACGUAUGUAAAGCAUCCCAUCUGUUUUAAGGUUAUAGUGUGUAUGUGUGUGGUGUAGUUCCUCUUGAUGUCCACUAGGUGUCAGCACAGGUUCAAUAAUGUCACACCAGGGUCACAACAUGUUUUCAUGUGUAACCUUACAGUGAAAUGCUGACUGACAAGCCCUUAACCAACAAUUUCGUUUUAAGAAAAAUAUGUGUUAAGUAAAAAAUAAGAAAUAAAAUUAACUAAUAAUUAAAGGGUAGUAGUAAAAUCAAAAUUGCGAGGCUUUAUACAUAGGUACCGGUUUGUCGAGGUAAUUGAGGUGGUCCUUUCAAUUCCAGUGGUGUAAAUUACUUAACUUUUUUUUUUUAACUACUCCACUACAUUCCGUUUAUAUAUCUGUUUAUUUUGUAUCUGUACUUUUACUCUUUCUGUUUCUUUACAACUUGAAAUUUUACUUCACUAUGUUUCUAAAUAAAAUAAUGUAUUUUUUACUCUAUACAGUUUCCCUGGCACACAAAAGUACUUGUUCAUUUCAAAUGCUGAGCCGGACAGGAAAAUGGUCCAAUUCACACACUUAUCAAGAGAACAUCCUUGGUCAUCCCUACUGCCUCAGAUCUAGCGGACUCACUAAACACAUGCUUCAUUUGUAAAUUAUGUCUGAUUGUUGGAGUGUUCCCCUGGUUAUUUCUUAAAUAAAAUAACAGAAUCGUGCUGUCUGGUUUGCUUAAUAUAUGGAAGGUCAAAUAAUUGAUACUUUUACCACUGAUACUUAAGUAUAUUUUAGCAAUGAUGUUUAAUUAGUAUUUUACUGGGUGACUUUCACUUUUACCUGAGACAUUUUCUAGUAACGUCAUCAUCUUAAUAUUGUAACUUUUUCCCUUCAUUUGCCUACUACUGUCUAUAAGCUAUCAUACCAUGUGGGGUUUUUCUUGGGGACCAGGUAUCGGAACGCCUUUGAAGGAUCUACAAAGCAUGCCCCCCAGGUAAAAGUUGCCUUUUGCAGACAAGGAUUGUAUUGUUACUCCACGACAUAAUAUGUUAUCACAACUCUAUUAAAAGGACAUUCUACACAAAGUGUCACUUCAUUCCUUUUAUUUCAUGGGAACCAGCCCCUACCGCCCUACACACCUCAAGUUAGCUCUUUCAUGCCAACAAAAGGCAAAAUCAAAAAUGCUUCACUAUUAUUUGUUCCUCAGGGAUUUGUUUGUACUCACAAGAACUAGCCCCUGGUUAGGAAUGGGGAACGAGUGCUAUCUCUUGGGAAAAAAACAUGUUUAUACCUAUGCAGUACCUUUAGCAAUAAUAAUAAUAAUAAUAAUAAAA